CCCACAUUCAACCUAUCCCCAGAUGGCUUGGAUCUGAGCGCUCAAUAUAUCCAAACAGCGCUCAGAUCCCACAAAUACAGUCAAAUCGCCAUACACACUAGGUCCAUAGUCAUGGGGCAGAAGGCUGGCAAUUAGGCUUCUCCAUAACACAGGGAAGUAGGGCAAUUUGUCAAAUAAAAUAACAGUUACAAAUGGCAGUUUGUAACAACUUACAAAAUACUUGUGCUACUGACAACUCAGUCCAGUGUAUGUCACUUCACCCUACUACCGGUUAUAGGCUUAGACCAACCACUACACCUCCUUAUACACCUCACCCUAAGGUAAAAAGGUCUCUACCCCCUAUACCAUAUGUCCCUCAACAUAACGUUCUAUGUAGUGAUAGACAUGAAUGGAGUUGGAGCAAGAGUGAUAUGAAUCGAACUCAAGGUAAUUUUUCCUGCCCUACAAACCAAACGUGUCAAAUUUAUAAUAUAACAAGAAAUUUCCAGCAGAAGGAUGUAAAAUUAUGUAAUAUAAAAUCGCAAUGGUGCAUGAUUGUAAAACUGAGAAAACCGCUGCUGGAAACUGUUCUGUUCAAAUCCAUAAUAAUACUGGGUUCUGUGCCACUGCUUUUGCUAUAGAUGUACCUUCGAUGCAAACUACCUUUUGGGAUAUAUGGCAAACUUGGUAUAGGGCCAAUAAUAAGACAACUAAUAAUGCAUGUAAUGAUGCCAGUUUAAUUAAAGGAUCCAAUGACAAUUACACCAUAACCUGGCAAGAAGGACAUUACCCAUACACCAGUUGCCACCCACGUUCUCAAGGGCGAACUAUUGAAAGUAAGUUCUAAAAUCCAGGAUGACUUGGCUGGUAUGAUAUAUUCACAGGUUAUUCCCCCACAGGUGCUCAAAUUGUUAGAUCAUUCUUUU